rnacentral:rRNA from 1 species
CACGUAGGGGGCAAGCGUUGUCCGGAUUUAUUGGGCGUAAAGAGCUCGUAGGCGGCUCAGUAAGUCGGGUGUGAAACCUCCAGGCUCAACCUGGAGACGCCACCUGAUACUGCUGUGGCUAGAGUCCGGUAGGGGAGCGUGGAAUUCCUGGUGUAGCGGUGAAAUGCGCAGAUAUCAGGAGGAACACCAACGGCGAAGGCAGCUCGCUGGGACGGUACUGACGCUGAGACGCGAAAGCGUGGGGAGCGAACAGG